GGUAAAUUCUGCACCCUCUGUGUGUAGAGUUGGUAGAAAGUUGGGACACGGGAAGGGCCAGGGUUGGCUUGAUCGGAUGUGCAGAUGAAAGACCAGAGAUGCCCAGGGAGAAAGAAACCAUAUAGGAAAAGAAAGAGAAGAUGGGAACAGACAAGAGCAUAAUGCGGCUGUGUUGAGGGCAAACUGCGAGUGAGAAGAUAUCAGAGAUGGCUGGGGCUCCAUGGGUUGGAUUGCUCCAUUCUCAUGCCCAGCCAAUGCCGCCAAUAAGACCCUGACGGCUCAAGGAUGUGCCAGUGGCCCAGGAAGGGGGCAACCCCAUGUCAUUGAAUGUACGGUUUUCUGCACUGCCUUCGGAUUUCAAGCCUGAAGAAAGCUGAGAGAAUUACGACUCUUUUAGACUUUGACUCCUGGGCCUAUGAAGUGUGAGCUAUGUGUGUGACAGCUUAGGAAGAGGUGCGUUAACUUUGUUUCCUUUCAGGACCCACUUCUCACACCCACCCCAGCCAGCCUCCCCUGCAGGGCGUCAGUCACGGCAACGCCCACCUGUAGGAACAAAUGGUACCACUGACUUAUUGCUGGUGAGAGAAAUAAUGCAAAUCCACGGGUGCUCCUGCCCAGGCAGAGAUGCCCCAAGGGGAUGGAGUGGCAUCUGGAGGGGAACCCUUCCCUGGCAGAUCUGUUCAUCGAUUGGCAGAACACCUAGUCCCACCAGUCUUAAACACUUACCACAGCAACUGCAAGAACAGCCACAGCAAUUCCCCCAGCUGCUCUGUUCUCCCGAGAGCGGGUUGGUAAAAUGCGCCCCUAGGAUGACUAGAGAUGCAACAGUCUUGCCGCCAUCUUUGUCUGUAUUCAAAAGGUCAUUUCCACAUCCUAAAAAAAGAUCCUGGAAGUUAUUUCUUUCCUGAAUAGGAAAGUAUAUCUUUGCGUUAAACAUUUAAAAUUUUCAGGAGAGAAGUUACAUAAAAGUUUGGUG
rnacentral:lncRNA from 1 species